rnacentral:rRNA from 1 species
AGAGUUUGAUCAUGGCUCAGGAUGAACGCUAGCUACAGGCUUAACACAUGCAAGUCGAGGGGCAGCAUGUUGGUUGCUUGCAACCAACGAUGGCGACCGGCGCACGGGUGAGUAACGCGUAUCCAACCUACCCUUGUCCAUCGGAUAACCCGUCGAAAGGCGGCCUAACACGAUAUGCGGUUCACAGCAGGCAUCUAACGUGAACGAAAUGUGAAGGAGAAGGAUGGGGAUGCGUCUGAUUAGCUUGUUGGCGGGGUAACGGCCACCAAGGCGACGAUCAGUAGGGGUUCUGAGAGGAAGGUCCCCCCANAUUGGAACUGAGACACGGUCCAAACUCCUACGGGAGCA